GACGAACGCUGGCGGCGUGCUUAACACAUGCAAGUCGAACGAGAGGACAAGAGAAGCUUGCUUCUUUUGGAAUCGAGUGGCAAACGGGUGAGUAACACGUAAACAACCUGCCUUCAGGAUGGGGACAACAGACGGAAACGACUGCUAAUACCGAAUAAGUUCCAAGAGCCGCAUGGCCCAUGGAAGAAAAGGUGGCCUCUACCUGUAAGCUAUCGCCUGAAGAGGGGUUUNCGUCUGAUUAGCUGGUUGGAGGGGUAACGGCCCACCAAGGCGACGAUCAGUAGCCGGUCUGAGAGGAUGAACGGCCACACUGGAACUGAGACACGGUCCAGACUCCUACGGGAGGCAGCAGUGGGGAAUCUUCCGCAAUGGGCGAAAGCCUGACGGAGCAACGCCG
rnacentral:rRNA from 1 species